AGCGAUGCUCGCGUCUCUGCUUUGGGCUCCGUCUUCCCAUAGCCGCCUUCAGUCUCGUAUAGCCGACACUGCUCAGGAACCGGUUAUGUUGUUGAGAUCUUCCUGCCUGCGCUUCUCAUACGGGUAUGUGUCACUCGUCCCACUUUACCUCACUACAGUCCUUUAAGGUAAUGUCAAAAUCCCCGUUUUAGAAGUGAUUCUGAGGUCGGGCGUGGUGGCGCACGCCUUUAAUCCCAGCACUUGGGAGGCAGAGGCAGGCGGAUUUCUGAGUUCGAGGCCAGCCUGGUCUACAAAGUGAGUUCCAGGACAGCCAGGGCUAUAAAGAGAAACCCUGUCUCGAAAAAACCGAAAAGAAAAAAAAAAAAAAAGAAAGAAAGAAAACAAAUGAAAUGAUUCUGAGAUUCAGAAAGGCUAAUCAGACUUGCUGCCUGACUCCCCACUUCAUCCCCGGGAUUAGGAAUUGAGGGCUAAGAGAGAAGGCUCAACCCUAAACUAAAGAAAACUUACCUUUCCCUCCUUGAUGUGGAUGCCUUCUCAGAGGGAAGAUGGGACUUUUUAGAUUCCGACUUUCUUAGAUUGAGGUGACCCUGUCCUUCAAUCUCCCCAUUACCUAGGGAGGAAAUUGUGUCUAGAGAUUAUAUUGAGACAGAGCAAAAAUGGAGUUACUAAGUACUUAAACUCAUACUAUGAGAUGUUCUUCCAUUAGGAAAAACAAAACCAAAAACUUGGAAUUCUUAAAAAAAACAAACCAAAAAACAAAACAAAAUAACAAAAACAAAAAACCCCCACAGAUACAGCAUUCAUGGUUCCAGUUUCCAAAGUGAACACGUGUUAGGUUUCAUAAUUUGGUAUUUUUAGGGUAAAGAACUUGAACUUAAGAAAAGGCGGAAUUCUCCUGUUUGGCAUCUCUGAAUGGUUGUAUUUUGUGAAUUGAUCUACAACUUGGUUUUUAAGGAAUGUCAUGGCCUAGGUUCUACUUUUAUAAAAUUAUGCCAUGAAAGAAUGAAAGAGGGAAAGCAGUUUGGGAGCAGGCCACAGUGUGGUGCUAUAUUGACUUGCUUCGGAGCUGAGACCUACAUGGGAAAGUUAUCCCAAAAGCGAUGCUAUUGUUUGGCUAUCUUUGUAAAACUUGGUGCCUUCUCUGCUCUGAGAUGAGCUCUAAAACACUACUGAGAGAUUGGAGAAGAGCUCUCCAGGGCUGAGGACCCCCAGAGACUUCUUGAAGGGACAAGUGGGCUUUUGGAGAGCUGCUGGGAACUGAAAGUACCAGGAGGAUCCGCUAGGUGAAACAGCCGUGAGUGAGUAGCCAUUUCUCAAGAAUGUAUGUAUUGUGUCAUAGAAGAAACAGUAGGGCCUGGGGUGGGACUUUGGGGGAGCACUGGCCCAGCAUGCUUGAGGCCCUGGGUAUGAGUUUUGUCACCAAAAGAGGCAAAACAGUGAAUCCAGAGGAACUAUUUCAUUUUUACUCUAAGAUGUAACAGGUUUUUAGCAGGAGGCCAAAAAGUCUUUAAAAUGAGACUGUUCAUUUUAAAGACUUAGACAUCUAGCAUUGUUACGCCUAUAGUCUUUUAUUAAACAUACUACUUUAGGCUGUAAUUUCCUUAAGAGCAAAUAUGUGUUGAUUUCCAUACCUUUAGCAGUUGAGAGUGACAUAAAAAGGGUACUCAUUAAAUUAAUGAAUGAAGAAAUCUUAAACUCAAGCCGGGCGUGGUGAUGCACGCCUUUAUUCCUAGCACUCAAGAGGCAGAGGCAGGCGGAUUUCUGAGUUCGAGGCCAGCCUGGUCUCUUUUUGGCAGGAUUUUCUAUAGACCAGGUUGGCUCAAAUGUGGAACUCUCCUGCUUUGGCCUCCCCAAAUGACGAAAUGGCAGUUGUGCAAUAAAUAUCUCAGCUGUGCAGUGUCACAGCUGCCUAGGCUGCCCUUGAAGCCACAGCAUCUGAAAGAGUUGGCCAAGUUACAAAGCUGACCAGAUGACAUCACCGUUGUCCAGGCAGAUCUCUUUCCUCAGCAGAAUAUUUGGGGCUUUGCUAGUCCUGCCUUCCUCUAAGAGCUCUGACGAGGCGUCUGAUUACCCAACCUUUGGAUGUUCUGAUGACUUCUUGCUAAACAAACUAAAACCUUAUUUUCUGGGGGUUCUACAAUGCUAAUGUUUUAAUUUAUUUUUGUAUUUCAAGUCUACACUUCCCUUUUAAAGCUAAAGUAGUUAGCAAGUUUAGGAGGUAGGUGACUGUACUCAAUAUUUUUGUAUGCCAACUUGAUACAAGCUAGAGUUAUUGCAGAGAAAGGAGCCUCCCUUAAGGAAAUGCCUCUAUGAGAUCCAGCUGUAAGGCAUUUUCUCAAUUAGUGAUCAAGUGGGCAGGGCCUAGCCCAUUGUGGGUGUUGCCAUCCCUGGGCUGGGAGUCAGUCCUGAGUUCUAUCAGAAAACAAGCUGAGUAAGCUGGGGAGGCAAGCCAGUAAGUAACAUCUCUCCAUGGCCUGUGCAUCAGCUCCUGCCUCCAAGACCCUGCCCUGUGUGAGUUCCAGUCUUGACUUCCAUGGUGAUGAAGAGGAACAUGGAAGUGUAAGCUGAAUAAACCCUUUCCUCCCC
ensembl:lincRNA Gm10827 predicted gene 10827